rnacentral:siRNA from 1 species
UCAGCACAGAAUUUGCAGGUAGUA